UGAGGAAGAGUGCAUGCUGUGUGGUCAGUGACCAAGAACAAGUUCCUGUCAGCGAGGUCCACAGGCUGGAAAGCCAAUGCCGUGGCUCAUUCUGCUGGAAGAGUCCUCUUAUUGUCUCACCUUCUUUAUAGCUGAACCACCCAGCUUUAACAUUUGCAGCCAUAACUUCCUCCAUCUGUAGAGAGGGCAUCAUCUAAAAUAUCAAUUUUCAAGCACACGGACUGAGUUUCAAGCUAAUGCUCCAUUGCUCAACAAUUUGGCCUCUCCCAGUAGCCAGAAGAACCCUUUCUAAAAGAGGUAGACAGCAAAAAGUAUUGUGGAAGAAUUGAGGCCCAAUGAUGUUGGGUGAAAAUGUAAGCUGAUGUGAACUUUGGCAAGUCUAUGAGCAGCACAUCUGAGAACAAUUACA